rnacentral:tRNA from 1 species
UGGGGUAUCGCCAAGCGGUAAGGCACCGGUUUUUGAUACCGGCAUUCCCUGGUUCGAAUCCAGUGCACUCAGCCA